CGUAGCGUCUUCUGCGGCUCAUUUUAUAACAACUAGUUAAAGUAAUAGUAACGAAAUAAUACGAACAAAAAAAAACUUUACAACAACGGAUCUCUUGGCUUGCUCAUCGAUGAAGAACGCAGCGAAAUGUGAUAAGUAAUGUGAAUUGCAGAAUUCAGUGAAUCAUCGAAUCUUUGAACGCACCUUGCGCUCCCUGGUAUUCCGGGGAGCAUGUCUGUUUGAGUGUCAUGAACUCUUCAACCCACCAGUUUCUUGUAGACUGAUUGGUGUUUGGAUUUUGAGCGUUGCUGGUCUUCGGAUCUAGCUCGUUCGUAAUAAAUUAGCAUCUCUAAUUCGAACUCGGAUUGACUCAGUGUAAUAGACUAUUCGCUGAGGACACGCUCUUGUAGUGUGGCCGAAUGAGAUCUCAGUAGAAGCUUCCAACUACUUUAGUCAACUUUAGAUUAGACCUCAGAUCAGGCAGGAUUACCCGCUGAACUUAA
rnacentral:rRNA from 1 species